GUGUCAGUAACAUGUCUUGAGGAGCUAAUCAGAGUUGCUGUGGGUCAUGGAAUUUGUCAGGAGGGCAACAUACAGUUAUUUCUUUCUAGGUGUAUUUAAUGGAUGAGUUAUCACUUCGCUCUAUGGUUGCUGGUGCUGAGAAAUGCCUCGAUGACAUUUUCAUUGUUAAAAAUGGACUAUGGAAACAAGAUCAGUCAACAUGUGUGAGUGCACCUUCACCAAUCCCACAAAUGCCUGUGCUCUCACGAAUUUAUUACCCUUGGGAGAGCCUCAGCAAGACAGUACUUGAUGCAUUGGAAGCAGACAAUGUUCUGCUUCCCUCUCAACGACAGGAAGUGGCACACAUGGCAGCGUCAUGGCCCUGCAUAUCCAUUGAAGGCACCUGGUUGGUAUCAUUGAGAACGAAGGGAGCCAGCAGGCAUAAAAAAAUCAAGAGGGCUACAUACAUAAAUGCGUGAGGCAAUGAGGGCCGCAGAUGAAUAUA